rnacentral:rRNA from 1 species
AGGGAAUCUUCGGCAAUGGACGAAAGUCUGACCGAGCAACGCCGCGUGAGUGAAGAAGGUUUUCGGAUCGUAAAGCUCUGUUGUAAGAGAAGAACGGGUGUGAGAGUGGAAAGUUCACACUGUGACGGUAUCUUACCAGAAAGGGACGGCUAACUACGUGCCAGCAGCCGCGGUAAUACGUAGGUCCCGAGCGUUGUCCGGAUUUAUUGGGCGUAAAGCGAGCGCAGGCGGUUAGAUAAGUCUGAAGUUAAAGGCUGUGGCUUAACCAUAGUACGCUUUGGAAACUGUUUAACUUGAGUGCAGAAGGGGAGAGUGGAAUUCCAUGUGUAGCGGUGAAAUGCGUAGAUAUAUGGAGGAACACCGGUGGCGAAAGCGGCUCUCUGGUCUGUAACUGACGCUGAGGCUCGAAAGCGUGGGGAGCGAACAGGAUUAGAUACCCUGGUAGUCCACGCCGUAAACGAUGAGUGCUAGGUGUUAGGCCCUUUCCGGGGCUUAGUGCCGCAGCUAACGCAUUAAGCACUCCGCCUGGGGAGUACGACCGCAAGGUUG